rnacentral:rRNA from 1 species
UGUCCUUAUUUGCCAGAACGUAAUGGUGGGAACUCUAAGGAGACUGCCGGUGACAAACCGGAGGAAGGUGGGGACGACGUCAAGUCAUCAUGGCCCUUAUGACCAGGGCUACACACGUGCUACAAUGGGACGUACAGAGGGUUGCUAAGCCGCGAGGUGGAGCCAAUCCCAGAAAACGUUUCGUAGUCCGGAUCGAAGUCUGCAACUCGACUUCGUGAAGUCGGAAUCGCUAGUAAUCGCGAAUCAGCAUGUCGCGGUGAAUACGUUC